AGCGAACGCUGGCGGCAGGCCUAACACAUGCAAGUCGAACGAAGUCUUCGGACUUAGUGGCGGACGGGUGAGUAACACGUGGGAACGUGCCUUUAGGUUCGGAAUAACUCAGGGAAACUUGUGCCAAUACCGAAUGUGCCCUUCGGGGGAAAGAUUUAUCGCCUUUAGAGCGGCCCGCGUCUGAUUAGCUAGUUGGUGAGGUAAAGGCUCACCAAGGCGACGAUCAGUAGCUGGUCUGAGAGGAUGAUCAGCCACAUUGGGACUGAGACACGGCCCAAACUCCUACGGGAGGCAGCAGUGGGGAAUCUUGCGCAAUGGGCGAAAGCCUGACGCAGCCAUGCCGCGUGAAUGAUGAAGGUCUUAGGAUUGUAAAAUUCUCUCACCGGGGACGAUAAUGACGGUACCCGGAGAAGAAGCCCCGGCUAACUUCGUGCCAGCCGCCGCAGUAACAC
rnacentral:rRNA from 1 species